rnacentral:rRNA from 1 species
GAUGAACGCUAGCGGCAGGCUUAACACAUGCAAGUCGAGGGGCAGCAAGGGUAGCAAUACCUGUUGGCGACCGGCAAACGGGUGCGGAACACGUACACAACAUACCUUUACUGGAGCAUAGCCCGUUGAAAAGACGGAUUAACACUCCAUAAUAUAGCAGAGUGGCAUCACUUAGUUAUUAAAAUUUAAUUGGUAAGAGAUUGGUGUGCGUCCUAUUAGCUAGNGGUUAGGGUAACGGCCUACCAAGGCGACGAUAGGUAGCUGGUGUGAGAGCACGACCA